UGCCGACCACAAAGGUCCCUUCCCAAGGUGGUCCCAAGGGUUCGGUUGUUCGCCGAUGAAAGUGGUACGUGAGUUGGGUUUAGAACGUCGUGAGACAGUUC
rnacentral:ncRNA from 1 species